AUACGGAGGGUGCAAGCGUUAUUCGGAAUCACUGGGCGUAAAGGACGCGUAGGCGGGUUGGCAAGUCAGAUGUGAAAUCCUACAGCUUAACUGUAGAACUGCAUUUGAAACUGCUAACCUAGAGUAUGGGAGGGGGAGAUGGAAUUAGUGGUGUAGGGGUAAAAUCCGUAGGUAUCACUAGGAAUACCGAAAGCGAAGGCGAUCUCCUGGAACAUAACUGACGCUAAGGCGUGAAAGCGUGGGGAGCAAACAGGAUUAGAUACCCUAGUAGUCC
rnacentral:rRNA from 1 species